GGGUACACAGCCUGCGUCUCCCCCACCGCCGCUAAAAAACUGAAAAUCAUAAGGUGGAUCACUGAUUGGUGCAAAUGGUUGACGGUUGAACAUGGGAGAACAAUCUCAAACUUUAAAAUCAAACUAAUAGAAGAAUUGGUGGGUGAUCUGUACUAUCCAUAUUGUAGGAUAGUUUUAUAUUCAUUCGUCAAUCUCAUCUUAUUGUUAAAAAAAAAAAAUCAACUUUAAUUUCCUUUUCAC
rnacentral:lncRNA from 1 species